rnacentral:rRNA from 1 species
AUCUCCUCGCAGGCGCCCUCUGUAUAAUCGCUUGCAAAUGAAAGCAUCGUAGUAUCUCCUCCUGUUCUUUCUUCGAGCAAACACAAUCCUGCGUUCUCGAAAUUGUUUGUAUUUUUAUGUCCUCACCAGUGCCAGAGAAGCCCCCGCAUCAGCAUCGCCGUCAAAUUUGCUGCACUGUGAAAUAACACAGGUUCCCACAGACGGUUCUUUUUUUCAUACAACCACGCCAGUAUAAGUCCCAUGAGCGCCGCAUAAAUCCCCUGCGCCCAGUUUCCAUGCACCAACCCGAAAAAUGCCGCCGACCCAAGUGCCGCCCAGAAAAAUGGGAGCGCCAUACGCAGGCGCUCAAAUAUAAUGCCGCGAAACAGCAGUUCUUCGGAAAGUGGGGCGGCAAUGCCCAUGAGAAAGAACUGCUGCCACAAGGCGCCGGAAAAUAAAGCGGCACUGCCCUUCGACGCACCUUUUCCCAGAGCUGCCGCAAGCAUAUCCCCCUGAGGCAUUUUCAAACACAGAGACACCGCUUCAGCUGCCUGCCCAGUCAUCCGAACCUUUUGCACUGCAAUAUGCAGCACUCCCAGGAAAAUCUCCUUUUUUUCUAAUGCCCAGAAAAUCAUGUUAAACACAGCACUGAACGCAGCUGCCCCCAGCAGGAUUUUCCACACAUCCGACACUUUUUCCCAGUGUGGAUAGGGGAGAAAUUCCAAUCGAACCCGGAGAUAGCUGGUUCUCCUCGAAAUAGCUUUAGGGCUAGCCUCGUAUUAGUUUAGCGGAGGUAGAGCACUGAAUUUCCUAGGGGGCGUCAAAGUCUACCGAAGAAUAUCAAACUCCGAAUGCCGCAUAAAUGAUGUACGGGAGUCAGACUGCACGAGAUAAGUUGGGUAGUCAAAAGGGAAAGAGCCCAGACCUACAGCUAAGGUCCCAAAGUGUGUGUUAAGUGGAAAAGGAUGUGGGAUUUCGAAGACAACUAGGAUGUUGGCUCAGAAGCAGCCACACAUUAAAAGAGUGCGUAAUAGCUCACUAGUCGAGAGGUCCUGCGCCGAAAAUGUCCGGGGCUGAAACACGACACCGAAGCUUAGGAACAGAAAUGUUGGUAGAGGAGCAUUGUUAGCGGAACGAAGCCAUACCGGAAGGAGUGGUGGACUGCUAAGAAGAGAGAAUGCCGGAAUGAGUAGCGAGAUUGAAGUGAGAAUCUUCAAGGCCGAAUAUCUAAGGUUUCCAGGGUAAAGCUGAUCUGCCCUGGGUAAGUCGGGGCCUAAGGCGAGGUCGAAAGACGUAGCCGAUGGACAACAGGUUGAAAUUCCUGUACUGCGAUAUAUCAGAAAUGUGGGGACACAGAAGGAAAGUGUGAGCCGGGAAAGGAAAGACCGGUGCAAGCACAGGAGGAGGGAUGCAGGCAAAUCCGUAUCCCAAUCCAAUGGUGUUACGCGGAGCGAACAAAAGUAGCGAAGCACACAGACCAUCUGUCGAGAAAAGCCGCUAUUGUGUAUACCGUACCCGUACCGUAAACCGACACAGGUGGAUGAGGAGAGAAUCCUAAGGCCGGCGGGAGAAGCAUUGUUAAGGAACUCGGCAAAAUGACCCCGUAACUUCGGGAGAAGGGGUGCUCACGCAAUUGAGCCGCAGAGAACUGGCCCAAGCAACUGUUUAGCAAAAACACAGGUCUAUGCGAAACCGAAAGGUGAGGUAUAUGGGCUGACGCCUGCCCGGUGCUGGAAGGUUAAGAGGAGAGGUUAGCGGUAACGCGAAGCUUUGAAUUUAAGCCCCAGUAAACGGCGGCCGUAACUAUAACGGUCCUAAGGUAGCGAAAUUCCUUGUCGG